CCUACGGGGGGCAGCAGUGAGGAAUAUUGGUCAAUGGACGAGAGUCUGAACCAGCCAAGUAGCGUGAAGGAUGACUGCCCUAUGGGUUGUAAACUUCUUUUUUAUGGGAAUAAAAUGUUCCACGUGUGGGAUUUUGUAUGUACCAUAUGAAUAAGGAUCGGCUAACUCCGUGCCAGCAGCCGCGGUAAUACGGAGGAUCCGAGCGUUAUCCGGAUUUAUUGGGUUUAAAGGGAGCGUAGGUGGAUUGUUAAGUCAGUUGUGAAAGUUUGCGGCUCAACCGUAAAAUUGCAGUUGAAACUGGCAGUCUUGAGUACAGUAGAGGUGGGCGGAAUUCGUGGUGUAGCGGUGAAAUGCUUAGAUAUCACGAAGAACUCCGAUUGCGAAGGCAGUUCACUGGACUGCAACUGACACUGAGGCUCGAAAGUGUGGGUAUCAAACAGGAUUAGAUACCCGAGUAGUC
rnacentral:rRNA from 1 species